UUCUCAAUUCAUAUUCUCCUUCGCCAUAACAAAGCCAUUCUGUUCUCUAUUUUUUCUUCUUUUAAUGUUAACCAACCUUCUACUUCUAAAGAAUUAACAAGAGCUAAAUUCAAGAGAUCGUAUAUACCUUUCCCUUUUAGAUUCUAAUUUUUGUGUUAUUAACAUGGCAACGGAGAUUUUGCGGCCUCAGGAUUGUUUAAUUGAACGGAUCAGGGUUCCUCCGGCGUCGUUUUCGCGGCGAAGAAAUUACCCCAACAACUACAGUAACUAUCAUAAUAGUAAUAAUUUUAGCAAUCAGCAUGCGGCGGCAUCAAGAUCCAGCUCCCGGAAGUCCGUUACCCGACCCGAUCAGAGGAAACGGGCUGUAGUUGCCAGCGGUCGAUAAGGUGACGAUUCUCCGGAGGGGGCAGUCGCUGGAUUCGACGGCGGCGCCCGCCGUGAACAGCGACAUGUAUGCUGGAUCAGCGUUCGCGGUGUCUCCGUCGCCUAGCGCGCUCCCUCUUCCUUCUUUUCAGACGAAGAAGCAGCCCUCUCCGGCGGUGGAUGACUCCGCAACCAGAGAUCUGAGGCGUCUGCUCCGGCUCGAGUAAGAUUCGGGUCGGUUUGUCUGGUUCGGGUCUAGUUGGUUCUUGACCCUUAUUUCCCUCUUCACCAACAUCUAGAAUCUUCUUCUCCUUUCUCUUCAUUUCUCCGUUACCGUCACUACCGUUACGGGUAGGUCCUUACCAGUUUGAAGUCCCGUCUCGACCGUGAUUUUUUUAAACGGAAGGAUGGGUCUGAAAUUGGGGGCCGAAUACGUUUGGAGAAGUUUGGAUUUAGUGUAAGAGCCGUGUGACACGUUUGUUUGCUGAUGGCUUAAAAUAAGAAUUAGGUUCUAAUUUCAGUUUAGAAUUGGUGGAAAAAAAUUUGAAAAAAAAAAAAUGAAGGAAGGAAGAACCGAAGAAGCUAUACAAGUUGAGGGAGUAACUAAGGGGGUUGUUCUUGUAAAAAUCCGGAAAGUGUUGUGGUUUGGUGGAUGUUGGAUGUGAAAGUGAAUGGUUUUUCUAGCUCAUUGUACCCUUUUUGUAAAGUAUAAAUGUUAAAACUUUAGGGAGGUUUGAGCAAA